rnacentral:lncRNA from 1 species
UUGGGGUUGCGGCCAUGUGUCUUCAAGAAGAGCCAUCAGUCCGUCCCUUAAUCGGUGAUGUCGUAGCUGCUCUUACCACCCUCGACGUGGAUGAACCAAUUCCUGAUUCUCCUGAGAAAGGCAGCGCAGAUACAGACGAUUCAGAUGAACAUGAGCCAAAGAGUUCAGAUAAUGAGGUCUUACCAAAAAGGAAUGAGGAUCAUAGCAGUGGGAAUGAUCAACAAAAUGUUCAUCACGAUCAAAGAUUUGGCUUUAAUGAAGAUCAUUUUGACAGUGAUGAGGAUGAUAGAGAAAGUUCUGAUUACGGGUAUGGAAGUACAUCAGGA